rnacentral:rRNA from 1 species
GUAUUUUGACUAUACAAAGGUAUUGAAAUAAGAUUUUAAUUGAAUGCUAAGAGAAUGGAAUUACAGAAAAUAGCUUUUUUUAAAUUAAAAAUUGAAAUUUUUUUAAUUUGUGCAGAAACAAUUAUUAAUAUUAAGGACAAGAAGACCCUAUGAAUUUAUAAAUUUAUUUUAUAGUAAAUAAUAUAUAAUAAAUUUUGGUUGGGGCGACAAAAAAAAAUAAAAAACUUUUUUUUAAUAAAAUGAUCCAUUAUUAAUGAUUAUAUGAAAAAUACUCUAGGGAUAACAGCGUUAUAUUUUUUGAUAGCUCAUAUUGACAAAAAAGUUUGCGACCUCGAUGUUGGAUUAGGAUGCUUUUUUAAUGAAGA